AUUGAACGCUGGCGGCAGGCUUAACACAUGCAAGUCGAGCGGGGUGAUGGUGCUUGCACUAUCACUUAGCGGCGGACGGGUGAGUAAUGCUUAGGAAUCUGCCUAUUAGUGGGGGACAACAUCUCGAAAGGGAUGCUAAUACCGCAUACCUCCUACGGGAGAAAGGAGGGGAUCACUUGUGACCUUGCGCUAAUAGAUGAGCCUAAGUCGGAUUAGCUAGUGGGUGGGGUAAAGGCCUACCAAGGCGACGAUCUGUAGCGGGUCUGAGAGGAUGAGCCGCCACACUGGGACUGAGACACGGCCCAGACUCCUACGGGAGGCAGCAGUGGGGAAUAUUGGACAAUGGGGGGAACCCUGAUCCAGCCAUGCCGCGUGUGUGAAGAAGGCCUUAUGGUUGUAAAGCACUUUAAGCGAGGAGGAGGCUCUUUUGGUUAAUACCCAAGAUGAGUGGACGUUACUCGCAGAAUAAGCACCGGCUAACUCUGUGCCAGCCGCCGCCGUAA
rnacentral:rRNA from 1 species